UACGGAGGGUGCAAGCAUUAAUCGGAAUUAUUGGGCGUAAAGGGCGCGUAGGCGGAUUUGUAAGUCAGAUGUGAAAUACCGAGGCUUAACUUCGGUGCUGCAUUUGAAACUACAAAUCUAGAGGGUUGACGGAGAAAACGGAAUUCCACAUGUAGCGGUGAAAUGCGUGGAUAUGUGGAAGAACACCGGUGGCGAAGGCGGUUUUCUAGUUAAUACCUGACGCUGAGGCGCGAGAGCAAGGGGAGCAAACAGG
rnacentral:rRNA from 1 species